UUGGAGAAAGUAGAGAAGCUACUGAGAGAUUUUGAAAUGGAAUUAUAGAAUCUUCUUAUGAAAUGUCAAUUGCAUAGGAAGAGAAAGAAUAUGAGGAAGAGCUUGGCCAAGAGAAGGCUCAUUCUGUGUGCGGACAAAAUAGCAUAAAUAGGACAAGGUAAGGGCAAAAGUGAUGGGUUAGAGCUGCAUGGCAAUCCAAAUAAAUGCA
rnacentral:lncRNA from 1 species